AUAGGGGAAGCCGAAAACCUUUUAGAGUAGGUG
ncrna:unclassified sequences DTF805b RNA